CGCACGGUAGCUUAGUGGUUAGCACGUUUGCCUUACACCUCUAGACUCGGGGGUUCGAUUCCCAUGGCUCUGUGUGU